UNGUGCUUAGCAUGUAGAAGCAGAAUC
rnacentral:piRNA from 1 species